AUCAUGGCUCAGGAUGAACGCUAGCGGCAAGCUUAAUACAUGCAAGUCGAGGGGCAGCAUGACUGUAGCAAUACAGUUGAUGGCGACCGGCAAACGGGUGCGGAACACGUACAGAACCUUCCUUCGAGCGGGGAAUAGCCCAGAGAAAUUUGGAUUAAUACCCCAUAGUAUAUUGGAGUGGCAUCACUUUGAUAUUAAAGAUUUAUCACUUGAAGAUGGCUGUGCGGCUGAUUAGAUAGUUGGCGGGGUAACGGCCCACCAAGUCUGCGAUCAGUAACUGGUGUGAGAGCACGACCAGUCACACGGGCACUGAGACACGGGCCCGACUCCUACGGGAGGCAGCAGUAAGGAAUAUUGGUCAAUGGACGAAAGUCUGAACCAGCUAUGCCGCGUGGAGGAUGAAGGCCCUCUGGGUUGUAAACUUCUUUUAUAUGGGACGAAAAGGGCCUUUCUAGGUCAACUGACGGUACCAUGUGAAUAAGCACCGGCUAACUCCGUG
rnacentral:rRNA from 1 species